AAUGGGCGCAAGCCUGAUCCAGCGAUGCCGCGUGGAUGAUGAAGGCCCUAGGGUUGUAAAGUCCUUUCGAUGGUGAAGAUAAUGACGGUAACCAUUAAAGAAGCCCCGGCUAAUUUCGUGCCAGCAGCCGCGGUAAUACGAAAGGGGCAAGCGUUGUUCGGAAUUACUGGGCGUAAAGCGCGCGUAGGCGGCAUGCCAAGUUAGGGGUGAAAUCCCGGAGCUCAACUCCGGAACUGCCUCUAAAACUGGCAAGCUAGAGGAUGUGAGAGGAUAGUGGAAUUCCGAGUGUAGAGGUGAAAUUCGUAGAUAUUCGGAAGAACACCGGUGGCGAAGGCGACUGUCUGGCACAUUUCUGACGCUGAGGUGCGAAAGCGUGGGGAGCGAACAGGAUU
rnacentral:rRNA from 1 species